rnacentral:pre_miRNA from 1 species
AAUGGAAUUGCUGGGUCACAUGGUAACUUUCUGUGUGAUAUUUUGAGGAACUAACAAACUCUUUUCAAAGCAGUUGCACAAUCUGACAUUCUCACCGGCAAU